AAUUGUAUGAUUUUUUUUAAAGAAAAAUUUUCUAAUUUGUAAAUAAAAACGUUAGCUGAAUUUUACAAGAGUAGCAUUGUGAUUAGGGAUGUGGAGAGCACAGAGGUGUCACAUCCCUGGGGAGCUUUGCCAUUGUCCCCAUCCUGGAAGUCUGCAGUCAGGACCGAGGACGUCCUCUGCUUGCUACUAGUGUCACUUUGGAACUCGCCUGCUUCCUUUACCUCUGAGCCUUCCCAGAAGCCAUGUCUACUCUGCUGCCUUAGAGGCUUCUGUUUAUUUCCUGAUUCACAGGCUUCUGAGGCUACUGUGGUGAGCUGCUGAGAGCAACAGACUAACGGGGUCAGCCGAGUGGUGAGGGGCGGUGUGGAGCUUGGCUCUGCCCCUAGCUCUGGUCUUAGGCAGUUUAUUUGCACACUACUUGAUGAGAAAACUGUUUGUCCUAGUGAGUAUGUGGACCCGAGUAGAUCCAUAAUCAUGGAAGCAGCACGUGGCACCUGCAUCUUGGAAGGACCAAGAGAUUGCUGAUAGUGUGGAGAGCCAGGAUACUGUGUUCCACCCAAAGUGAUUGGUAGCUUUGGAAAUAUCCGGUUAAGCAGAGAGAAUAUGGAAAUUUGAGUUUUCUGUUGACAUGUCAGAGCAAAUGGUUGUGUUCGUAUGUUCUAUUUAACAGUUCAUGGGCUGAGUGUGUUCUUAUGGGUGCUGACAGGGUGGAGGGCUGGCCAAGAGCUACUCGGACCCCAGUGGAGCACAAUAAGGAUGGUGGUACCUGAAACUGAGCAGCACGCUCCGCCUGGAGCAGGCCAUUGAUUUCUACAGUAAAUUUAUGUUGUGUAAAGCCAUGGUAAUGAAGGGUACCCAUCUGUGGUAAGGGAAUCUUGGCUAGCAGUGAUUAGCGAGGAGAGAUUGUUAGCUUGGCCAUAGCACAUAAACACCUUUUUAUAACACAUCUCAAACCUGAUUUAUUAACAAUUAAAACCAUGUUAUAACUUCAACACUUUAUGCCUGUUAAAAUGCUCUCUACCACAAUUGUGCUGGUGCCAACAUGCCUAGUAAAAGUGUGUUCGUAUUUCCAAAUGCUGGUCGUUGCCUUCCACAUUUAUCUAUUUGAAACUGAGCAUGUAAUUUGUUUUUUUUUUUUGUUGUUGUUGUUGUUGUUUUGGAUUUUUUUUUUGUCCUUAAAGUUUCUUUUUAUGAAGAAAUAUGACUUUUGGCUGGAUAUUGUGCAUCUUUUAUGUAGCAUCCCUCCCUAGCAGUUACCAGAGGGAGCAUUUCAGAGAUCUCAAUUAUUCUGGAGGCUCAUCCUCCCCUCCCAUUUAAGCCUUCUGUCCGCAUCCUGUGGCGUGUUGGUCCCUACUGUAAGGUAGGUGUUGGAAGCUUUAGGCCUCAGUCAGUGGCUGACAGAACACUGGAAGAGUAGUGUUCUUGCUGUUGGGUCUCCAGAGCCUACACUUGUUUCUGCUGCACUGAGCAAGCUGGGGACACAACAUGUAGACCUUGGCCAUACUUUAUAAAUCAGUAAGAUGACAUCGUUUGGGAGGCCUACAAGGUGUAGGUAAUACAAUUUUUUUAGUCUAGGUGCUGAAGUGUAGCCCUUACAGCUGCAGGCCAGCACACAGAUACGUUGCCAGGUUGUGGCAGAGCAAUCAGAGGUUACGUGCUUUCCCAGCAGGUGCAAUGGUGGCUUUGGAAGGCAUCCUUGAGUACAUGGAAGAAACUGAUGUAGCUGAAUGCUUAACUUUAUGACAAACUCCAUGCUGGGUGUGUCUCAGGUGCUGCUACCUGGCAGUCCUUAGCGUGCUGGGAGGUCAGAGUGGCCCUUGGUAGCCUGUCAACUUGUUCCAGCUUCCAUGGCCACAGUGCUUACUCAGGAGCAUGGCUUGUGACACACGCACCUCAUGGCACUCACUUAGGCCACCUUCAUUGGGUGUGGUGGCUGAGGGAAGGGUGCUUCCCUUUGUUUAUACCUUGAAGUGCUGGAGGCCCCAUUGCCAAGGCCUGGGUUGCUGCAGAUGGCCAGAUGGGAAUGUCCUCUGCAUCCUUGGUUCUUAGCAGUCCAGAAGAGCUUCUCUACCAGUCUGGAAAGAACAUCAGUGUGGUGUGGUGCUCCUGGCAAAUGUCCAUCUAGAGCAGCGGCCUCUUCCUUUUACAAGGAAGCAGCACCUACUACUGAGCCAGCCUGGAGACCCGAGUUGUUACGUGACCCGUGUGCUUGACUCACUGAUGUAUAUAGCAGUUGGGCUGCUGCUCCACAGUUUAAAAUAACCGCUCUGACAUUUUUGCCCUUAGACAUCUUUAAGCUUUCCUUUAGUUAGGCAUCUCCAUUUUGUUCAAUUCUUGAACCUCCUUCGAAAGGUCCUGGGGACUUUAUGGUAGAACAAAUAGGCCUUACCGGGUUUGAGGCUGAUGGUGACAGGGUCUCUUGGUGCUGUUCAUGAAUACAGCAUGUUCCAGAGGUCUCCUGAGCUGCAUUUUAGAUAAAGAAAGAAAACUGCUUGAAUAAAGGCCCGUGCCUCCUGGGCAUCAAAGGCUCAUUUAGGAUGGAGAGCAGAUGCUUACCUCUUCAGUAGUCCAGUUGUCUCCAAACCCAUGGGCUCUGCAGUCCCUCACAUGCCAGCAGCUUCCAUCAGAGCUUACUUUUUUUUUUUUUAUUGUUAUCAGGAUGUUCUUGUGAUUCCUAGGAUAUUUAUAUACAUGCAAAGACAACCUGUUGCUAAUGGUGCCUAUUUGGAAAUUCGAUUAAGUUCUAAGUUGCAAUGUUUGCUUUUUAAAUAUGUCUGUGUAGGCUGGAUAUGGUAAGCCACACAUUGUAGGUAAGACUGCCUGUAAUGCCAUUAUUUGGCAGUCUGAGACAAGUUUAAGGGGAGCCUGGGCUAUGUAGUAAGUCUCUGUCUCACUAAACCAAAUAAAACU
rnacentral:lncRNA from 1 species